rnacentral:lncRNA from 10 species
CAUUCCAUCGUGAGGAGGGGCCCUGUGACUGCAGAUACUCAAUGCCUUCCAAGUGCGCUGGUGCCACCUUCAAGUGACACUUCUCAGAGUGUCACCCAGUGGCCCAGAGGCUCCCUAGUGUGUAGUCCACCCUCGCUCAGACACGGCGGCCUGUACCUGACAUCCACACUCCCCACCUGCUGCCACCCACAGGAGCAUUUCAGGGCAUCACGAAUUGGUGGCUUUUCUUUCCAGUUCAACAGGCAUCUCCCAAGUCACCUGUGGUGAUUGCUUUUAUAUGUCCACGUGGCCACACUCAUCUAGACAUUGCUCUGAAGUACUUAGACGCAGUGAGUGAAGAGACACUUGGUCCCGGGCCCCCUUCUCUGCACACACUGCCCUGUGUGCUACAGCAUGCCAGGCAGGGUGCCAGGACAGCAGGCCCGUGAAGACCAUGGCGGCGGCUGUCUGAAGACCAGCUCACAGCAGGAGCUGCGCUGAGAUCUUCUCCUGGGUGCUCAUGCUGGGGCCCGAGGUCGUAUGGAAAAGGCUUGUCCCCCUUGCUGGAUGUCACAAGGCUCAGCCACGUGGAUAGAAGCUGCUUGGAUGACCACAUUAAGUGAAUGGCCGCAUCUGUGCACUGGCUCUGCAGCCCUGGGCAGCGACACAGAGACAGCAAGCAGAGCAUCCAUCACCAGGAUUCUCAGGCAGGUGUUACACCAGAGCUCAUGCGUGUCUGGCCCCAGGCUCUGAGCUGUGGCGCAUUCUUCUUGCACAUGCCCUGUAGGCCGGGUGAAAUGUUGUCACUGAAGGUGAGCUAGGAAGUCACAGGGCAGGUUUCACAAGAGACACAUCACAAAGACCCUGCUCAUAAAACAGGAUGUGGGAGAGAAGCCAGCCAAAACCAAGAUGGUGGCAAAAGAAACCUCUGUUCAUUAUACACUAAUCAUAAUGCAUUUGCAUAUGCUCAAUGACGUGCCUGGCAGCACCAAGACAGUUUACAGACGCCAUGGCAACGUCUGGAAGUUACCCUAUGGGGUCUGAAGUGGGGAGGAAUUCUCAGUUCUUGGGGAAUUCCCUGCCUUUUUCCCAGAAAACUCAUGAAUAAUCCACCUGUUGUUCGGCAUAUAAUCAAGAAAUAACCAUAAAAAUAGCCACCCUUUUAUUCCUGUGCGGUAACCACCCAUUUAUUUCUUUACUUUCUUGAUUAACCUGAUUUCACUCUGUCCUCUUGCUCUUUUUUUUUUUUUGAGACAGAGUCUCGCCCUGUCACCAGGCUGGAGUGCAGUGGCAUGAACUCAGCUCACUGCAACCUCCACCUCCCGGGUUCCAGCGAUUCUCCUGCCUCAGCCUCCCGAGUAGCUGGGAUUACAGAUGUGCACCACCACGUCCAGCUAAUCUUUGUAUUUUUAGUAGAGAUGGGAUUUCACCAUGUUGGCCAGGCUGGUCUCAAAAUCCUGACCUCAAGCAAUCCACCUGCCUCGGCCUCCCAAAGUGCUGGGAUUACAGGCGUGAGCCACUGUGCCCAGCCUGUCCUCUCACUCUUGAAUUCCUUCCUGCAUGACACUAAGAACCCAUGUGACCUCCCGGGAUGAGCCCCGAUUUGGGGGUUCACCUGUGAUAAAGUAAGCUGGUGAACAGCAGGGAAGCACUCUGUGUCUGUAGCUUCCUGUGAGUAUGCAAUCAUUUCAAAAUUAAAAGUUUGUUAAAGCUAUAAAAAUUAUAAAAUAAAUUAAUAAAA